rnacentral:tRNA from 1 species
GAGAAAGACAUAGUGGUUAUGGUGUUGGCUUGAAACCAAUUUUAGGGGGCUCGAAACCUUCCUUUCUUA